UUCAUAGGCAGGUUGGCAUCACAUAACCGUUGCUGUUCGUGUUGUCUUGCAUUGGAUUCUUCAACGUAUAUCCUGUUCUCUCUAUCUCAACUAAUUUGCGGCGAAUCUGUUUCAGCGCCAGGACGGGCCUGAGAUAAGAACCAUCCGGUUUGUGCCAGCAGCUCCUAAUGGGACCAUUGCCGAGGAUUGGAGAACCUUUCAAUUUACUGGAAGAUCAGUUCAGCGGUUAAAGGAAGAGAUUACAAGCCGUGCUGGGGAGGCAACCCAGUACUGUGUUCAAGCAGGCCGGUACGGACGUCUUAUCCCUUUGACACAUGAGCUUCCUCACAACACUGAGACCAUUGAUAUCAUCAUUAUGAUGACUGGUACUACAGAUCCCCACAUGGAUAAUAGCCCAAGAACACAACUUUCUGCUCCUGAGUCCUUGGGAGAACAUCGUGUUGCUGACAUUCAGACAUCAUACUCGCACCGUCUGCAUACAAACAAUGUACUUGAGAGUCAGCAACGGAAAACAGGUAUAACACGAGCUGAACUUGAAUUGAAAACUAGGAAUAUCCACUGGGGAGAUUUGAAUUUGGAGGAAAAGAAGAGGACAAGAAAGGAGUUGAAAGCAGAAUACAAUGAACUCUUAGCUGCAGAAAAUUGCAUCAGUAAAUCGCAGGAAGAUGAUGUAAUUACAAACGAAAAUUAUGAAAGAGCGUCACUCCGGGAUCCAUGAGUCCGAGCUGCUGAUGGUCUGACGAGAUAGAAGUCACAGAACUACAAUAGCAGAACCUCUGACAUCAUCUCUUCAGUAAUUUUCGUAUCUUCAGAUCAAAUGACAGAGAUUGGAUGUCUUCUUGUUGUUCUUUUUUGUUGAUAUAGGCUUAGAAAGGGAAACCAUAAACUCUUCUUUGCUCUGAAGUUUACAGAACUGUUGUAAACACCAAGUACUAGAAUGUAUGCAUGAACAACUGUGCGUUCUGGCAUUUGCUGUAGUUUCCUACUUUCCUUGGAUAUCUGUAUAUAAUAUGAUUGAUCAUAAAUUUGCGGUGUGGAAUGUUAUGCUCUAUUUUUGACAACUGAAA